CCCCUCGUGCAUUGGUAUAUACACAUACCUGGUUACUCAAUAAUUAUUGUACAAAGGCAUUAAAUCAUUGACCUAUUGUCACAGGAAUAGUCAGAGCGAACCAUCAACACCUCACUUCCUUUCAGUCUGCUGCCUGAGCAGAUCAAAUUAUAAGUUUAUACCCAGGACCUGACUUUAAAAUGUUGGCUGUAUUUUCUUUUACUUUUCUGUCAAGGGCCCCCUGCAGGAACAUUGUCCCAUAGCUGGCGUAACUCCCCAGCACCGUGUAUUAUCAGCCACAUGCGGGGGCCAAAGUGGAUCCCAGCUGACUUUGGGCCAAGGCAGGGUUCACCAUACCAGACUCUCCAGGGCCGACGGCCAAUUCAGAGUCAUCGAUCAAGCUAAGCUGCAUGUCUCUCUGGACUGGGGCAAGAAGGAAGAGGAUCCAGAGAGAACCCUCUCUGAUGGGAUGAAAAGCACGGACCCGCCUGCUGGAUUGGCAAUUCAGUGGGGCAUAAGAUUGUAUUAUUGUUUUGUUUUUUUGUCCUGUGUGUGUUGUGUUUCACUACACAACAUCGGGGACAAUAGAUAGCUACUAUGUAGUAUUCGGACAAUAGUUAUGAGGUAGUUUUUUUUCUUCAACAAAUAAUUGUGUGGAGGCAAGCAAGUUACUACAUAAUAAGUAAGCUAAUGUUGAGCGUGCCAAAUACGACCCUUCUCAAGUUAUGAACAUUGAAACCUUAAUAAUGUUAAUGCGAUUUUCAGGCAGCACGAGUGAAAUGAAGUCUCAUGCACAUACGCUGUGUUUUAGUUUUGUUAUUGUUAUAGUGAGGGAGAAAGAUUACAUACGAAUUAGGAUUCAAGCUCUACAACAUGAUUGUUUUUUCCUGGCAACAAUGUGUUUUCCUCAAAUUAUGUAUGAAUUGUCAAGCAAUUUCAAGCAAUAGUGAAUAUAAAUGUAAAAUAUAAAUAUAAAUGGGAAAUAUAU